rnacentral:lncRNA from 1 species
CUAAACACAUAAUUUAAGCAUAUAAAUUCUAAAAAAGUCUAAAAAUAAGAAAAACGGCUAUGUUAUUACGGUCUCAUUUCUCGUAUUGUGUAACCAACAGAGCUAUUAAACAUUUGAAGGUAAUUAAAUAAAUGACCGGUUUUACUAAAAUAAUAAAGGGAAUUAAGAUCCCAAUGAAGUGGAAGCAUCGAGCCUUGUGCAAUUUUUGUUUGAGGACAAAAAGCAUGGCAACGCUUAGUUCACGGGUUCAGUCACUUGCCAAUUCCCGGAGAAGAGUUUUGCUCAAUAUCUCUGGAUUGGAGACAUUUUGCUCAUUUUGGUGGCUUACUCUUGUGGGGACGUGGGGCUAGUUUUCGAUAUUUUGAUUACAAUGCCAUUUGACUAUUUCAGUCAAUCGAAGUCAUAUCUUACAAUAUUGCACAAUAAUUAAAUGUGGAAAAUGUAUCCCAACAAAUCAUUGCAUUUCAUUAUUUUCUGUUGUUGGUAAAAUUUGAAAAGACCAAUGAAGCGGUGACAUGUGUAAGAGAGUGUUUUGUGUAUAAAUUCAUUGAUAAGAAGUUACAAAAAUAACGGCUGGUA